rnacentral:tRNA from 1 species
GGGAUCGUGGAGGUAACUGGUUAACCUCGCUAGGGUUGCCACCAAGAGAUACGGGUUCGAAUCCCGUCGAUUCCACCA